AACGAACGCUGGCGGCAGGCCUAACACAUGCAAGUCGAGCGCACCUUCGGGUGAGCGGCGGACGGGUUAGUAACGCGUGGGAAUAUGCCCAAAGGUACGGAAUAGCCUCUGGAAACGGAGAGUAAUACCGUAUGUGCCCUUCGGGGGAAAGAUUUAUCGCCUUUGGAUUAGCCCGCGUUGGAUUAGGUAGUUGGUGGGGUAAUGGCCUACCAAGCCUACGAUCCAUAGCUGGUUUGAGAGGAUGAUCAGCAACACUGGGACUGAGACACGGCCCAGACUCCUACGGGAGGCAGCAGUGGGGAAUCUUAGACAAUGGGCGAAACCCUGAUCUAGCCAUGCCGCGUGAGUGACGAAGGCCCUAGGGUCGUAAAGCUCUUUCGCCAGGGAUGAUAAUGACAGUACCUGGUAAAGAACCCGG
rnacentral:rRNA from 1 species